GCAAUCUAUACAAAAAUAGGUUACAAGCCACUGUUAUAACUUUUGAGAAAGAUGGACACUGCUCCAUCAGGCAACAACAACAUACUCAUUGUAAUCUCACAAGUAGUUGUACGUAGACCUUACCCCUACCUUGUGUGAUGUAUAGAUGUGGUUUCCCACAGACCCUCGGCUAAAGAAUAAGUUUUUCAAAAAUAAGUUUUACAAAUACAAGAGUAAAAGUGUGCCCAAAUGAUUCUAAUGCGGUAUUCCAGCUAUGAUUAUUUCCCACCAUUGCAUCAGUGGAACAUUCGACAGCUUAUUGCUUAUCAUAUUCACUUUUGCUGUUUCCAAAUUCAAACGGAGUUAACUCUGGGGCAGAUACGAGCUCGUAAUGGGUUCUUCAUAACUACGGUGAAUUCUAGAAUCUCUGUGAGAUCAACAUCAUCUCCUUCCACAGGCUUCCAUUGAAAAUGCCAAAUCAAAUUAGCCACAAAGAAUUCCAAGUGAAGCAUAGCCAAUGCAUAGGCAGGACAUAUUCUCCUCCCUGCGCCGAAUGGCAUCAUCUUGAUCUCUUUACUUCCUGUUAUAUCGAAAUCAACUACUUUAUCGGAUCCUUCCACUAAGAACCUCUCUGGCCUAAACUCCAUUGGAUCCUCCCAUACAUUUUGGUCUAAACCCAUCUCCCCAACCAUGAAAUUGAUGGUGGCAUUCUUUGGAAUGACGUACCCGUUCAGUUCUACUUCCUCUGUCACUGUGUGUGGCAGCACAAAGUGACCGGGUGGGUUACGCCUAACACCUUCUAAUAUCACUGCUUUCAAGUAGGGUAUUUUCUGCAAAUCUUCCUCCUUCACCACCUCUUCAUCUGUACUCAACUUGCUCUGUUUUUCUCCCAUUACACUAGCAAUUUGUCGGUAUAGCUUCUCCUGAAUGGAAGGGCUUUUGACCAAGUUGGACAUAAUCCACUGUAAGGCAGUGGACGUCGUAUCAGUUCCAGCGCUAAGGAAUUCACUGCAGAGGGCUACAAUUUCUCCAACAUUGAGGUUCCUUUUUUCCUCUGGCAAUUCCAAAUUCAACAGCGUAUCCACAUAAGCCACUACUAACUCGUCGGCGGGUUCGGUCUUUUCUUCUUUGGCCCUGCGUCGAGCUUCAAUCAAAGGAAUGAGGAUAUUCCUUUGCUCUCGUUGUACUUCAAUGAGUUUCUUCCAGCGAUUUCUAAACAUUAUUUUUCCAACUCCGGGAAAGAAUUUUAGUACAUCUCUGUAUCGUCGGAAACCCAGGACCAAGUUAUUUUGCAUAUUUUGAAUUUGCUUGAUUUGAGUUUCCUCAAGUUUAUCCCCAAAACACAUCAAUACAAGAAGACAGAACAUAGCAUACUGAAAAUGAUCAAUUAACUUCACGGAAUCGACUUGGGCGUGACGGAUCUGUUGAAGGAGGAUACCCAGCACCCACGAUCUGGCCUUGGAAUAGGACUUGAAGCGAGAAUGAUGGAGUAUUUCUGAAGUCAAGUUUCGACGGAGAAGACGCCAUAUUGAGCCGUAAGGGGCAGAGCUGAUGACGCACUGGUUACUAGAUUCAGCCGUUGGCCGGUCGGAGAAAAUAGAGCCUUGCCGGACUAAAGCUUGGUAGGCUAAAGAGUGACUACCUAUGUAUAUAGUAGGUCGAGACCCAAUAUUGAGAGUUAUGAGAGGACCAUACUUAGCCUUGAGUACACGGAGUUUGGGUUCCAAUUUGGCGUUGGACCAUAAUAAGCUUCCGAUCACCGGAAAAAUGUAGGGUCCCGGUGGGAGUUUUUUCUUGGAUUUGGAGUUAGCAGAGAUGAAAAAUACAAAAGAUUUGAGCAAAAAAGAUAUGCAGAGAGAAAAGAGUAGUAUGAAUAUCCAGUUCUCCAUUACUCUGUUUCAAUACAA
rnacentral:misc_RNA from 1 species